rnacentral:rRNA from 1 species
GAUUAUUUAUUAGCUUGUUUUAUUUGUGUUGAUUUUGUAUUUGUAUUUUAUUGAAGAAUCAUUUUGUUGUUGUAUAUUUGUGAUUUAAUUUUUUUUACUAUAGAUUACUUGUACCGUAGGGGUAUGAACCAUUAAUGUAUUUUUAGAAGCUAGUUUUAUUUAUUGUACCUUGUGUAUCAGGGUUCAUUGAAUUUUAUUAUUUAUUUUUAUUUCCCGAUUUUAAAGGAGUUAAUGGUUUAUUUUAGUUAUUGUUUCAAUAUUAUUAAUAAUAAAUUGUUGGCAGUGAAAUUUUAUUCGUCUUUAGUGGUUUCUGGUUUUUCAAGAAAUGAAUUCAAUUCAGGCAUCUUGUUUAAUUUUUAAUUUUGUUUUAUUUAUUUUUAUUUGGUGCUAAGAUUGAGGGGGAUUAGCUCCUUGUUUUAUUUUUAUAAUUGUUUUUAUUAUUUAGUUUUGUGGAUUUUAUAGUGAUUUUCGAUUUGAUUAUGUUAAAGUUUUAUUUAUCUUUUUGUUUAUUUACUUUUGGUUUAAGUUUUUAUUGGAAUUAUUUCUUUAUCUUUUGUUUGAAUAGUAAUUAUUGUGUAAUUAGUAAAUUUUUUUUUAUGUUGUUCAUUUUGUGUUAAAUUCUUUUUAGGAAUUAGGCAAAUUAUUUAUGUCCGCCUGUUUAACAAAAACAUCUCUUCUUGUUAGUUUUUGAGGUAUGGCCUGCCCACUGACUUUAUUUGUUGAAGGGCCGCGGUAUUUUGACCGUGCAAAGGUAGCAUAAUCAUUAGUUCUUUAAUUGUGAUCUGGUAUGAAUGGCUUGACGAGACAUAAUCUGUCUUAGAUGGAUAUUUUAUUGAAUUUGGUCUUUGAGUUAAAAUUCUUAAAUGUUUUUAUGGGACGAGAAGACCCUAUAGAGUUUAACAUCUUAGCUUGUUUUAUUUGUGUUGGUUUUCUUCUUGACUGGUUUAGAUGUUUUGUUGGGGUGAUGAGAGGAAUAUGUUUAACUCCUCUUUAUUUUGUAUAUUUAUAUAUAAAUUUUUGAUCCAAUUAUGUUGAUUAUAAGAUUAAAUUACCUUAGGGAUAACAGCGUUAUCUUCCUUGAGAGUUCUUAUUGGCGGGGAGGUUUGCGACCUCGAUGUUGGAUUAAGGUUAAUUUUCGGUGUAGGAGCUGAAAGUGAUUGGGUCUGUUCGACCUUUAAAAUCUUACAUGAUCUGAGUUCAGACCGGCGUGAGCCAGGUUGGUUUCUAUCUAUAAUAUUGUUUAUACCUUAGUACGAGAGGACCGGGUAUUUGAAAUAAUUUUAUUCAGUGUGAUUAUUAAUAAUGAUACUAUUUUGGCAGAUAAGUGCAUUGGAUUUAGAAUCUAUUAAUGUAAAGUUUU